rnacentral:lncRNA from 1 species
GCCGAAACGACAACAACGAGCCCAGCGGGGCGCCGGCCCUGGCACCACGCCCCUUCGGCCAAGGAGAGCGGUGGGGUCCCACACCCCAGAGCAGGAUCAAUCUAAGGGGCACUGGGCCCCCUCAGAGCCCUGGGCCAAGGAACCAUCCCUAAGCCCCACCAGCAGCACCAAGGCAGCUGUGAACACUGCACUCCAUGCUGGGACGUCCCCUGGACACCUCCUCAUCUCCUGGCAGAUUUCAGGUUAGAAUCACCUUCCAGAGAGGCCACCCAGAUCACCCACCUCCAGACCCUCCAGACCCUCCAGAUUGAUGCUUUGCUACUCCCAC